rnacentral:misc_RNA from 1 species
CUGUGUACAAAGACUGGCAAGUAGGCAUGAGUGUGUACAUAUGAAAAUGUAUGUAUGAUUGUGUAUAUAACAACAUUCUCGGCCACAUGUGAUGAAUAACUACGUUAGACUGGAUCCAGUGACAGAUGAGACACUUCGCCUUCUGUUUUUCUUUCUUUCCUUUUCUCCUCUCCCCUCUCGAUGACUUUAUCUCUUUCUCUCUCUCUCCCUCUCUGGAUAAUACCCGUUUCUUCCAAUAUCUUUCCAGUCAACACUCCAACUACACUCUACCCGAUACCCUUAUUCUACCCUACUGCAUUGGUGACGCCGCCUCUCGGUUUUCCAUGGCCAUCGAGCCCACUACUACCACAAUGACGACCCACAACCACCACCACCAUCACCACCGCCGCCACCACCACUUUUAUCAUCACAGUCGAUGCUAGCUACCUUUACCGCUGCCACCACCAUAAAACAUUGCUGCCACCCUUUAUGUGCCUAACAGGAUUUUUCGUUCGUUUAUUCAUUUACUUAUUCAUUGAUUCUUUUAAUUUCGUUUCGUUUUCUAAUCUAUUUAGUUAACUAGUUUGCUUCUAAUAUAUAUAUAUAUAAUCAACCCGCUUACCACGAGAAAGCAAAACAAAAACAAUUCUUUCGUUACUGUUUUAAGGAUUUUUGACGGAGAAAAUGAAAUGAAAAGCUGUAAUUUGCAAUUUUAAUGAAUUCUAGAAGCCAAUGGAUGAAAUAUCCGGACACAGCAUUGUCUCCCCCUAGUUUCACAGCAACACAUCUUUUUAAAAGCAUCCUUUGGUUUGGCAUGAACAUGACAAAAUAACCUGGCUGUGAUCCUGGGACUUGCUCAUGAAUAAAUGGCAAGGUUUGACCACAGCAAGAAGAUGGCUCCUCCAGAUAUUGAGCCAAUAGACACAGUGUAAAGCUGUUCAGUCUGCAUUUCAAUGGCACCUACAGCAUUAAAUUUGACAAAAUCACACAUAGAACAACUAUAGACAUUAAUAUCAAUGCGUUAAAUUGAAGUGCAAUCUGGUUUGUGGUUCAGUAGUGUAACAACUCUGGUAAAGCAUCAUCAUUCUUGAGAUUGUCUCAAGCUGUUUUCAGACCAAUCAUUGCCCACUGUCCUUCCUACAGCUAAAUACUUUCAGUUCAUGCCAAGAUUGCAUGGACCAGUUUGGUGCUUGUUAUUUUUUCUGACAUGUUUUAUUUACUGCACACAAAAACGUAGAUAUAUCCCAAUGUCAAUAAAUACUGACAUAUAUAUUUUAUAAGCGGGUAUAUGUAUAAGCAUACACAUGUAUACAUAUAUGUGUGUGUUUGUGUGUGUGGGUGUGAGUGUGUUUGUAUAGCUGUCUGAAUGUGUGUUUAUAUAGUUAUGUGUAUAUCAAGAUAGUAACAUAAAGAGAUUAAUAGUUAUUUUAAACCAAACAAGAAUUUGUUUAUAGAAAGCUGAUACCAAGAAAACAAUUGAACUCAAACUUGCACAUGGUUCUGAUUUACAAAAUUACUGGAAUAGAGUUAUUAGUUUACAGUAUUUUUUAAAAGUUUAUAUUAGAUGUUUGCAGAUAAAAAGAAAACGGAAGAACAUUAAACAAUCUUUCUGAUAACCAUUUACAAUUUAAAGGGAUUUUUUUUUUUUUAUGAAGAACCCAAAAUAAUGAUAUUUAUUUGUUUUUUUGUCUGCUGAAUGUGAAAAAAAAAAAGUUUCUUUGGUGAUAUUUUUGUAUUAAUUAAUCUUUUAGUUAUUAUUUUUUUCUUUGGUGUGUUUUAUGCUGAAAUUUUUUCAUAUGCAUUAAUCUUUUUUUUAUUAUAAAUGUCCCAUAAAAAUUUCCUGGACAAAAAUAUGAAGAAGCUCUGUCUGAAAAUUUUACUGGCAUUUGUAUAAAGUAUCUUUAUUUUUGUAGGAACUGAUAGAUAGAUGGAUAGACAGCUAGAAAGCAAGUAUGAGAGAAAGAGUGCAUAUUCCUUCCAACUAAAAUAACUCAGUCUGCUUCUUUUCUUUUUCUCUCUCUCCCUCUUUUCAAAACAAACCAAAGAAAUCUAAUUUUUAUCUAAGUCCUAAAUGAAUGACUUUCAAGUUGUGUUUUUAAGUUCGUUUAUACAAUUUCAGUUUAACUGAUGACAAUGAAGAGAGUAUGUUGUUCCUUAGAAAAAUGAACAUAGGAAUAAUAGAAAAGAAAAAAAAAGUAAAUGAAAAAUAACAAAAGACAUGUUCUGUCAUUAGUAUUCUCUGUUAUUACCCAUGAUGCACCAUUUUACUUCAAGUGGUAGCCGUCUUACUGGUCUGGGUUACACACUAUAAACCUGAUUUUGUUAAAGAGGUUGAGCUGAUACAAACAAUUUCAGUUGCAUUUUUAAAGAGUAGUUUACUGUAUUAUUUGUGUCUUGAAGUAAUUGGUAACACUUUCAAGUCAUAAUCGUUGUAGAGGCAGUGGUUGUUGUGGUUGUUGUCAUUGUUAUUGUGAUUGUCAUGGUCGUUGUUGUUUGAAACUAAAAAAAAAGAUAAUCAUUUUUUAAUUAAUUCAAUAAUUAAGAAAUAUAUAUAAAAGGUGUAAACAUAUUUACAUCCAAAAAAUAUAUUAGUUUCUGUGAGUGAACAGUUGACCCCAUGUUUCCAAUGCAGCCAAUGUACAGUGGUGGCAUGGGUCACCAUCACCACCACCACCAUCACCAUCACCACCACCAUCAUCACGGUAACCAGGGCGACAACAGUGCACCAAACAACAGCAACAGCCAACAGGCACAGCCACUGCCUCCUCCCCAACAGCCACAGCCACCCCCACAGCCACACCAAUUCAGCUGUGACGUCUGUGGGGACAAUUUCCAGACGUUCGACCAACUCAAGGCACACAAACGAGACCAUUUUGAAAGUAAAAACUUCAAGUGUGAUAUUUGUGGUGAAAACUUCCCGCUUUAUGAUCAGCUGAAGGCACACAAAAAGUCUGCUCACACUGAAUCAAAAUCAUAUCCUUGCGAUACUUGUAAAAAAAUCUUUAAUCAUAUCUCAACACUCCGUAAUCACAUGCGGACACACACAGGUGAGAAACCAUUCCAGUGUGAAAUCUGCCAGAAAUGUUUUAGUCAAAGAGGAAACCUGAAAAUUCACAGGCGUCGCCAUACUGGUGAGAAACCGUUCCAGUGUGAUAUCUGCUGGAAGUCGUUCAGCCAAAAGGGGAAUUUGAAGACACAUGUGCGUAACCAUGCCCACAAGAAAAGCUUCUGCUGCGAUCUCUGUGGCAAAGUUUUCAUGCAUCGAUCGAUACUAAAAUGCCAUGAGAAGGCUCAUCAAGUGCAGCGGCUGUCAUCACUCAAUCCAAAUGCUGGUGCAACAUCACCAACAUCACCACCUUCGUCUUCAUCUUCAUCAUCUUCUGCCCGAACGGGAGGAGUCAACAAUACCGGUAAUGCUGGCAACAGUGAAAAGGGUGUUGGCUACUAUUCUAAUACAUCACCUUUUGGUGGAGACCAACACAACCAUGGCCCACCAAGCUCACAUGGACACCAUGGGGCCAGUGGGAAUGCAGGAAGUGGGGCAAGGUCAGGACAAAGGCCAAACCCACAAACACAGCUUCAUCCAAACCCAAAUUCAACCGAACCCAAUAAUCCGAAUUCUUCAGUAUUUGUUUAAAUUUCAGGCUCCCUCCUCUUUUUAGCCCAACCCACCUGCCCCUUCCUUGUUGCCAUGCUACUAUUGCAGGGGUCUGUUAUUCCAUUCUACCAUACCCCCCUCCAUACACACACACACACACACACAUACAUACA